rnacentral:rRNA from 1 species
AUUGAACGCUGGCGGCAGGCUUAACACAUGCAAGUCGAGCGGAGACUUCGGUCUUAGCGGCGAACGGGUGAGUAAUACCUAGGAAUCUGCCCAUUAGCGGGGGACAACGUUUCGAAAGGAACGCUAAUACCGCAUACGCCUACGGGGAAAGGCAGGGGAGUCUUUUGUACCUUGCACUAAUGGAUGAGCCUAGGCCGGAUUAGCUAGUUGGUAGGGUAAAGGCCUACCAAGGCGACGAUCUGUAGCUGGUCUGAGAGGAUGACCAGCCACACUGGAACUGAGACACGGUCCAGACUCCUACGGGAGGCAGCAGUGGGGAAUAUUGGACAAUGGGCGCAAGCCUGAUCCAGCCAUGCCGCGUGUGUGAAGAAGGCC